rnacentral:tRNA from 1 species
GGGCCCGUAGCUCAGCCAGGACAGAGCGCCGGCCUUCUAAGCGGGGCCGGGGGCUCGGCCCUACCGAGGCUGCGCGGGGACAGCCGGUGGUCCCGGGUUCAAAUCCCGGCGGGCCCG